CAACUUUGCUAUCUUAGAACGGAUCACCAGUGAAAGAGGGGAAGUUGCUACUGUGAUGAAUUCUGCCAUGUGGUACCAGACUGCUGCCCAGACCACAGUGUCCUCUGCAACCCUGCUUCUCAGAUGACCAAGAUGGUGCUGCCGAUGGUGUUGAGGACGGAGAACCCACCAAGCCCCGUUAGGAGCCACCUAGACUGGAUGCAGAGCACAAUUUGAAGAUUGUACCAGGAGAGCCGCAGUGUUCCAGAGCUACCGAGGGACUGGGUCGGGCUUUGCUGUAUUUGAGAAGACCCCCCUGGACCCGAGAGGCUGUGGGCUUGGGGAGCAUGAGGAGGUUUCACAGCAGAAAGGACACCCCGGGGCUACCGGACAAGCCGGAAAAUGUGCCAGGGGAAGUCAGGCUCCAAGGGCACCACUCUGGGCUUCUAGCUGUGUGGGCUGGACCAAGAAGGCUCAGAGAAAUGAUCUCAGGCCUUGAAGUGGGGAGAAGAAACUGUAUUAUGAAGGCAGAUGAACAGUUCCUGCAAAAGCCUCAGCACCCGCAGAGCAGACACUGCGAUAACAACGGAGGACACAGAAGUGCCCGCUAUGACUCCAGCACCAGGCCACGCCGCUCUGGAAACUCAAACGCUGAGCGCUGAGACCUCUUC
rnacentral:lncRNA from 1 species